GACGAACGCUGGCGGCGUGCCUAAUACAUGCAAGUAGAACGCUGAAGAGAGGAGCUUGCUCUUCUUGGAUGAGUUGCGAACGGGUGAGUAACGCGUAGGUAACCUCCUGGUAGCGGGGGAUAACUAUUGGAAACGAUAGCUAAUACCGCAUAAAAUUGAUUAUUGCAUGAUAAUUAAUUGAAAGAUGCAAUUGCAUCACUACCAGAUGGACCUGCGUUGUAUUAGCUAGUUGGUGAGGUAACGGCUCACCAAGGCGACGAUACAUAGCCGACCUGAGAGGGUGAUCGGCCACACUGGGACUGAGACACGGCCCAGACUCCUACGGGAGGCAGCAGUAGGGAAUCUUCGGCAAUGGGGGGAACCCUGACCGAGCAACGCCGCGUGAGUGAAGAAGGUUUUCGGAUCGUAAAGCUCUGUUGUAAGAGAAGAACGGGUGUGAGAGUGGAAAGUUCACACUGUGACGAUCUACCA
rnacentral:rRNA from 1 species